CUAAUGGACAAUCAAGAAGAAGCUGGAGUAGGUGUUGGUAGAGCUUUAAACUCCAGGAGAAAAAUCCAGAUGAAGAUGGAAAAAGCAGAGGUGGGGAGCUGUUACCAUAUGAAGACUGAGACUGCAUCGAGGUCCUAGGAACACAAACAUGGGAAUGAUGCCCAUCCCCACAGACAAAACAACGGUGGACAAUAAGAUACAGGAACAAGAAAUGGGUGAAGUGGUAAGAGAAAUGUGGAAGGUCACGAUAGAGUAGGGAGCAAAGGAUACAGUAAAGGGAGUUACUCCAGCUAUUAUUGGGCACUUCCAAAUCCAUUCCAUCCCUGUGGAGGAGCCUUGCAGGAGAGUCAGCACAUCUAGAUAUACUUAGGAACAUCCAGAAGUCCCUAUCAAUAUGUAGGAAUGUGCAGGGCAAAGCAGCAGAGAGAUUCUCUGCCAGCUGUUCCUUCUACGUCUGUCUUUGCCCACUACAAAGUACCUACAGUGCCAGGUGGCCUGUAUUCCAGAUGCAAGUUGGUCCUCUGU